rnacentral:lncRNA from 10 species
CAAGCCCCCGAGGCAGGUAGUACCCCAUCCAGCAGGCGGGGCCACUGAGUCAUGGCCAUGUCAAGUACCUGGGCUCUCCCAUGGGCCCUGGGUCUUUCAACAUUUUCCCAGCUGUCAAGGUCAGGGCUUGGUGCCGGCAGUCUAGUCUUGCACUUGCUCUUCUCGCCUCUAGCCUCACCUCUUUUGCUUCAGCCUCUCUCUGCACAGCUGCCAAGAGUGGGGGGGUGUCUUUCUGACACCCCAUUGGAGCUAGGCUCUGCCCAGAGGAAGGACUUAGAGUGAUAUCUCAGGAGAGGACAAGGGCCACAACAAACUCUGCUCUGCAUCCCAGAGCUCAGCACAGGCCCCGGCACAUGGAGACACUGAGGGCUCUAUCUGUGAGUGCCAGGACAGCUCCUAGCAACACCAAGGCCUCUAUCUGUGAGUGCCAGGACAGCUCCUAGCAACACUGAGGCCUACAAGAUAGGACCAGAUCAGCUCCCAGAUGUCAGCGACUGGUCUUCUUUCUACCUGAAGAAUCAGUGUGGUGGCCUCACAAUUGCUACAGGUGCGUUCAGCCUCAUGACUCCAUGUGAGCACCCCGUGCCGAUUCAUCUGCCUGGCCACAUCACCACGUACUCGGACUCAUUUCACUCCCUGGCUGGGACACAGCAGAUAGCAGACCUCUCAGUUGUCAGACACAUCCCACUGGCCUUCGGCUGUGCCCAGCCUGGCUUAAUUGGCACCUCCCGAUGCUUCUGGAGGCGUCUGUGCUCCCAGCUCCUCUCUGGCAUGUCUCAAUGGCUUCCUUGUGGCCCACUUCACCUGUUCACAGCCCCAUGACUUCCCCUGCACCGUCUAUUGCCAGACUCAUCUUCCUAAACACAAACCCAGCUGUGGCCCCUGCCUGAGUGCCCUUCACCUGCAGGAUAGGCCCAAGCCCUCCUGUGUUCAGCCCUGGCCUUCUCUCUGGCAGUGGGGGUCUUUGCUGUGGACCCUCCACCCCCUGGCCCUGUCCCACACCUCUGGAGCUUGCCGUUCCCAGGGAGCCUCACUAAAGCCUCUCCCUCUCAGCCAAGAGUUUGUGUCCGUCUCAAACUCCUCAAGAAAACAAUGUCCUGGCACAUUUCACUUGGCAGUUACUCCCGAGACCACCCCU